GUUUCUAACACUUCUUCAUCUUCAUCUUCUUCUUCUUCGUCAUUCUUCUUCGAUGUUU
rnacentral:sRNA from 1 species